CUAGAGAAGUGUUUUCCGCGUUGGACCGUGUAUAAGUCUCUUGGAACAGAGCGUCAUAGAGGGUGAGAAUCCCGUCUUUGACACGGACUACCAAUGCUUUGUGAUACACUCUCAAAGAGUCGAGUUGUUUGGGAAUGCAGCUCAAAAUGGGUGGUAAAUUCCAUCUAAAGCUAAAUAUUGGCGAGAGACCGAUAGCGAACAAGUACCGUGAGGGAAAGAUGAAAAGCACUUUGGAAAGAGAGUUAAACAGUACGUGAAAUUGCUGAAAGGGAAACGAUUGAAGUCAGUCGCGUUAGCUAGAACUCAACCAGGCUUGCUUGGCGUAUUUUCUAGUUAACGGGCCAGCAUCAGUUUUGACCGCAGGAAAAAGGCCAGAGAAAUGUGGCACCCUCGGGUGUGUUAUAGUCUUUGGUCAUAUACUGCGAUUGGGACUGAGGUUCGCAGCACGCGCAAGCUGUGCUUAGGAUGCUGGCGUAAUGGCUUUAAACGACCCGUCUUGAAACACGGACCAAGGAGUCUAACAAACCUGCGAGUAUUUGGGUGGUAAACCCGAGUGCGCAAUGAAAGUAAAAGUUGGGAUCCCUGUCGUGGGGAGCACCGACGCCCGGACCAGACCUUCUGUGACGGAUCUGCGGUAGAGCAUGUUUGUUGGGACCCGAAAGAUGGUGAACUAUGCCUGAAUAGGGUGAAGCCAGAGGAAACUCU
rnacentral:rRNA from 1 species